AGGUAGAUGAAGAGGUCUGGAAAGGCCCGCCAUAGGAGGUAACAGCCCUGUAGUCAAAACUUCGUUCUCUCCUGAGUGGAUCCUGAGUACGGCGGAACACGUGAAAUUCCGUCGGAAUCCGGGAGGACCAUCUCCCAAGGCUAAAUACUCCCUAGUGACCGAUAGUGAACCAGUACCGUGAGGGAAAGGCGAAAAGAACCC
rnacentral:rRNA from 13 species